rnacentral:rRNA from 1 species
UACGGAGGGUGCAAGCGUUAUCCGGAUUCACUGGGUUUAAAGGGUGCGUAGGUGGGUAUGUAAGUCAGAGGUGAAAUCCCCGAGCUUAACUUGGGAACUGCCUUUGAUACUAUGUAUCUUGAAUGUCGUAGAGGUUAGCGGAAUAUGUCAUGUAGCGGUGAAAUGCUUAGAUAUGACAUAGAACACCAAUUGCGAAGGCAGCUGGCUAUACGAUUAUUGACACUGAGGCACGAAAGCGUGGGUAGCAAACAGG